rnacentral:rRNA from 1 species
AAUGGUGAAAGGAAAGUGCAUUGGAUCUCUUGACAAAAAAUGUGUGCAGCGAAGAGGGUUGGUGGUCUGGGAUUCCGCAAACCUGAGGCGUUCAAUCAAGCUUUGCUUGCGAUGCAAGCCUGGAGAAUUCUGCAAGAACCAGCCUCUUUAUGUGCGAAGGUCCUCAAAGCACGCUAUUUUAAGGAAGAAACAAUCUUGUCGGUUACUUGCCCAUCUAAUGCAUCCUACACUUACACAAGUGUGUUACAUGGCAGAGACCUUCUUCGGGAAGGACUGAUUUGGCAUAUUGGGGAUGGAUCUAAUAUUCAUAUUCACCAUGACAACUGGAUUCCGAUAAGAGGAACUAUGAGACCACUGGGUCAAAUCUUCGUGUCGGGCGUGACGCGUGUGGCAGACCUGCUCACAGCUGAAUGGCGCGCAUGGGACUCUGCCAUAGUAAAUGAGAUGUUCAGUCCGAGUGACGCACAUGAUAUCCAUCAGAUUGCAAUAGGUGGGCCGGAUGAGCAGGACUACUUGGCAUGA